rnacentral:rRNA from 1 species
ACGCCGUAAACGAUGUCUACUUGGAGGUUGGUGUCUUGAACACUGGCUUUCGGAGCUAACGCGCUAAGUAGACCGCCUGGGGAGUACGGUCGCAAGAUUAAAACUCAAAUGAAUUGACGGGGGCCCGCACAAGCGGUGGAGCAUGUGGUUUAAUUCGAUGCAACGCGAAGAACCUUACCUACUCUUGACAUCCACGGAAUCCUGCAGAGAUGCGGGAGUGCCUUUGGGAACCGUGAGACAGGUGCUGCAUGGCUGUCGUCAGCUCGUGUUGUGAAAUGUUGGGUUAAGUCCCGCAACGAGCGCAACCCUUAUCCUUGUUUGCCAGCACUUCGGGUGGGAACUCCAGGGAGACUGCCGGUGAUAAACCGGAGGAAGGUGGGGACGACGUCAAGUCAUCAUGGCCCUUACGAGUAGGGCUACACACGUGCUACAAUGGCAUAUACAGAGGGCAGCAAGACCGCGAGGUGGAGCGAAUCCCACAAAGUAUGUCGUAGUCCGGAUUGGAGUCUGCAACUCGACUCCAUGAAGUCGGAAUCGCUAGUAAUCGUGGAUCAGAAUGCCACGGUGAAUACGUUCCCGGGCCUUGUACACACCGCCCGUCACACCAUGGGAGUGGGCUGCACCAGAAGUAGAUAGCUUAACCUUCGGGAGGG